rnacentral:tRNA from 1 species
GGAGAGAUGGCUCAGUGGUUAAGAGCACUGACUGCUCUUCCAGAGGUCCUGAGUUCAAUUCCCAGUAACCACA